AAAAAGAGGAGUGGCGAACGGGUGAGUAACACGUGGGUAACCUGCCCAUCAGAAGGGGAUAACACUUGGAAACAGGUGCUAAUACCGUAUAACAAUCAAAACCGCAUGGUUUUGAUUUGAAAGGCGCUUUCGGGUGUCGCUGAUGGAUGGACCCGCGGUGCAUUAGCUAGUUGGUGAGGUAACGGCUCACCAAGGCCACGAUGCAUAGCCGACCUGAGAGGGUGAUCGGCCACAUUGGGGCUGAGACACGGCCCAAACUCCUACGGGAGGCAGCAGUAGGGAAUCUUCGGCAAUGGACGAAAGUCUGACCGAGCAACGCCGCGUGAGUGAAGAAGGUUUUCGGAUCGUAAAACUCUGUUGUUAGAGAGGAACAAGGAUGAGAGUAACUGUUCAUCCCUUGACGGUAUCUAACCAGAAAGCCACGGCUAACUACGUGCCAGCAGCCGCGGUAAUACGUAGGUGGCAAGCGUUGUCCGGAUUUAUUGGGCGUAACGCGAGCGCAGGCGGUUUCUUAAGUCUGAUGUGAAAGCCCCCGGCUCAACCGGGGAGGGUCAUUGGAAACUGGGAGACUUGAGUGCAGAAGAGGAGAGUGGAAUUCCAUGUGU
rnacentral:rRNA from 1 species